CCCGCUGAACUUAAGCAUAUUACUAAGCGGAGGAGAAGAAAUUAACUAAGAUUGCCUUAGUAAGGGCGACUGAACCGGCAAAAGCUCGAAAUUAAAAUCGGAAAUCCAAUGGAUCUUCGAAUUGUAAUCAGGGUGCCCAAAAUACGUGGAGUCACUCAAGUGCAUCGAAUGGCACGCCAAAGAGGGUAAAAGCCCCGUGCAGUGAUUCCGCGAACGCGGGAACUCGAAAAAGAGUCGUGUUGCUUGGAACUGCAGCACUAAGUGGGAGAUAUGAUUCUUCCAAAGCUAAAUAUGGAUGGGAGACCGAUAGAGUACAAGUACUGUGAAGGAAAGAUGAAAAGGACUUUGAAAAGAGAGUGAAAAGAUCUGAAAUCGUUGAGAAGGAAGCGGUUAAAACUGAUCGAGGUUAUGACUGUGCAACGAGGCCAAAAGUCUCAGAGUACAGACCAAAGACCCUGGACAAAAUGAAGCCGCGCGAACCAAAAUAGGUUAUGCCGAUUCGGGUUUGCGUGACUUAAGGGACUAUUGUGAUUUUGUCUAAAAGGCUUUAACCGACCCGUCUUGAAACACGG
rnacentral:rRNA from 1 species